rnacentral:tRNA from 2 species
GGCGGAGUAGCUCAGGCGGGCAGAGCAGCGGUCUCAUAAACCGCAGGGCGCGGGUUCAAAUCCCGCCUCCGCGA